CUUCCAGUAGCACCUUAGAGACCAACUAAGUUUGUUAUUGGUAUGAGCUUUCGUGUCCAUGCACAAACAAACUUAGUUGGUCUCUAAGGUGCUACUGGAAG